AUUUGGGCUGGACGGCAAAGGCAUGAAAUCAGCAAGAAAGUAAGGAGAAUUAAGGGCAAAAUUGGAAUAUUGCAAAAUUACUUAAUAAAGCUAGGAUCCAAGUGGAAUUAUCUAGAUUUCUCUUUAUUUUUCUGCAUUCUCAUCAGCAAAAACACCAUAGAAGGGUUUCCUUAAGCUGGUUUUUCAUAUUUUUACUGCAAGCCUAACGAGACAGGUGAUGUGACCAGUUAACUUGCCGUGGUGGAAACCCAAAUUAAGAACCAAACAAGACAGUAAAAGAAGAAGAUGAAGAUGAAGAGAAGAGGAGGAGGAGGAGAAAAAUAAGAACUGGAGAUGCCGAAACAAGAAAAACCAUUAGAGAUCCAAACUUUUCCUUCAUCACUGUUUAUUCACCUCCUUCCCAACUUCUCGUCGCUUAACCUAGUGAAGAAGAUCUUCCAAUCGAUCUGUGACUUUCCUUAACGAUUUUAUAGAUUACCUUAAUAAUGUUUCAUUUGUGAACCAGCCUCAAUUUUUAAGGUCUUACUUAAGACGAUUAAGUCAAUUAAAUCAGUUUUAACCUA